GACGAACGCUGGCGGCGUGCUUAACACAUGCAAGUCGAACGGAAAGGCCCUGCGUUUGUGGGGUGCUCGAGUGGCGAACGGGUGAGUAACACGUGAGUAACCUGCCCUUGACUUUGGGAUAACUUCAGGAAACUGGGGCUAAUACCGGAUAGGAGCUCCUGCUGCAUGGUGGGGGUUGGAAAGUGUCGGCGGUUGGGGAUGGACUCGCGGCUUAUCAGCUUGUUGGUGGGGUAGGGGCUUACCAAGGCUUUGACGGGUAGCCGGCAUGAGAGGGUGACCGGCCACAAUGCUCCUGCGAUACGGCCCAGUCUGCUACGGGCGGCAGCAGUGGGGAAUAUUGCAGAAUGGGCGGACGCCUGAUGUAGCAACGCCGCGUGCGGGAUGCCGGCCUUCGGGUUGUAAACCGCUUUCUAAUGUGACGAAGCGUGAGUGACGGUAAUGGGUCAAGAAGCCCCGGCUAACUACGUG
rnacentral:rRNA from 1 species